UGGCCGGUACAGAGAGCAGCCACCCCGCGAGGGGGAGCGAAUCUACAAAAACCGGUCUCAGUUCGGAUCGCAGUCUGCAACUCGACUGCGUGAAGCUGGAAUCGCUAGUAAUCGCGCAUCAGCCAUGGCGCGGUGAAUACGUUCCCGGGCCUUGUACACACCGCCCGUCAAGCCAUGGAAGUCUGGGGGACCUGAAGACGGUAACCGCAAGGAGCCGUUAAGGGUAAAACAGGUAACUAGGGCUAAGUCGUAACAAGGUAAC
rnacentral:rRNA from 1 species